rfam:Oryza sativa Japonica Group DNA, chromosome 4, cultivar: Nipponbare, complete sequence.
AAUAAGUGCAGUUUUGCACUAUUCACGUUCAACAUUUGACCGUCCGUCUUAUUUAAAAAUCUUUUAUGAUUAGUAUUUUUAUUGCUAUUAGAUGAUAAAACAUGAAUAGUACUUUAUGUGUGACUAAAUGUUUUUAAUUUUUUCAUAAAUUUUUCUAAUAAGACGGACGUUCAAAUGUUAUACGUGUAUAGUGCAAAACUGCACUUAUU